UACCGCCCAAUCUCACUCCUCAACGCCGACGUCAAGCUGUUCUCGAAGGUUCUGACUAAAAGACUACAAAGACAUAUGACUAGACUAAUACACCCAGACCAGACGGGCUUCAUACCUGGCCGAGAGGCCAGAGACAACACCCUAAGGCUCUUCGCCAUACAACAUCUAUCAAAGAAAAUGGGAACGAAGCUACUACUGCUGUCGACGGACGCUGAAAAAGCCUUCGACAGAGUAGAUUGGCACUUCAUGACGGAAGCACUACGUGCGACAGGUAUCGGAAACGGCAUGCUCACAUGGAUCACGGCACUAUACAACCAACCAACUGCCAGGAUUCGAGUAAAUGGGGCACUCACGG